rnacentral:rRNA from 1 species
AUCGAACGCUGGCGGCAGGCCUAACACAUGCAAGUCGAGCGGAGCGGCGGACGGGGGAGUAAUGCCUAGGAAUCUGCCUGGGAGUGGGGGAUAACGUCCGGAAAUGGGCGCUAAUACCGCAUACUAUCAGAUGAGCCUAGGCCGGAUUAGCUAGUUGGGGGGGUAAAGGCCUACCAAGGCGACGAUCCGUAGCUGGUCUGAGAGGAUGAUCAGUCACACGGGAACUGAGACACGGUCCAGACUCCUACGGGAGGCAGCAGUGGGGAAUAUUGAACAAUGGGCGAAAGCCUGAGGCAGCCAUGCCGCGUGUGUGAAGAAGGUCUUCGGGUUGUAAAGCACUUUAAGCUGGGAGGCGUUACCAACAGAAGAAGCACCGGCUAACUUCGUGCCAGCAGCCGCGGUAAUAC